rnacentral:rRNA from 1 species
UACGUAGGUGACCAGCGUUGUCCGGAUUUACUGGGCGUAAAGAGCGCGCAGGCGGUCGUUCAAGUCGAGUGUGAAAGCCCCCGGCUCAACUGGGGAGGGUCACUCGAUACUGAUCGACUUGAAGGCAGGAGAGGGAAGCGGAAUUCCCGGUGGAGUGGUGAAAUGCGUAGAGAUCGGGAGGAACACCAGUGGCGCAAGCGGCCCCCAAGCCUGAACCUGACGCUGAAGCGCGACAGCGUGGGGAGCAAACGGG